rnacentral:tRNA from 1 species
AGAAAUACGUCUGGUAAAAGUUACUUUGAUAGAGUAACUCUAAGUUACUUUAAUAGAGGUUCAAAUCCUUUUAUUUCUA